UUCCGGUUGAUCCCGCCGGAGGCUACCGCUAUUGGAGUUCGAUUAAGCAUGCGAGUCUAGAGGCCUAGCCUCGGCGUACCGCUCAGUAACACGUGGGUAACCUACCCUAUGCUGGGGGAUAAGCUCGGGAAACUGAGAAUAAUACCCCAUAGUCCACUACGCCUGGAACGGUGAGUGGAACAAAGCUCCGGCGGCAUAGGAUGGGCCUGCGGCGUAUCAGGUUGUAGGGGGUGUAACGUACCCUCUAGCCAUCCACGCGUACGGGUGUUGGGAGACAUAGCCCGGAGAUGGAUUCUGAGACACGAAUCCAGACCCUACGGGGUGCAGCAGGCGCGAAAACUUGGCAAUGCGAGAAAUCGUGACCAGGGAACUCCAAGUGGCAGGGGUAAGACCCUGUCUUUUUCCGACUCUAAAUAGGUCGGCGAAUAAGGGGUGGGUAAGGACGGUGCCAGCCGCCGCGGUAAUACCGGCGCCUCAAGUGGUAGUCGCUUUUAUUGGGCCUAAAACGUCCGUAGCCGGUUUGGUACAUUCGUGGGUAAAUCAACUCGCUUAACGGGUUGAAUUCUGCGAGGACGGCCAGACUUGGGACCGGGAGAGGUGUGGGGUACUCUCAGGGUAGGGGUAAAAUCCUGUCAUCCUGAGAGGACCACCUGUUGCGAAGGCUCCACACUAGAACGGAUCCGACGGUCAGGGACGAAGCCUAGGGGCACGAACCGGAUUAGAUACCCGGGUAGUCCUAGGUGUAAACGCUGUGGACUUGAUGUUGGGGACGCUCCGAGCGUUCUCAGUGUCGAAGCGAAGGUGAUAAGUCCACUGCCUGGGGAGUACGGUCGCAAGGCUGAAACUUAAAGGAAUUGGCGGGGGAGCACCGCAACCUGAGGAUUGUGCGGUUUAAUUGGAGUCAACGCCGGA
rnacentral:rRNA from 1 species